rnacentral:misc_RNA from 1 species
UCCGGUUUAUCACCGGCAGUCUCCACAGAGUCCUCGCCAUAACGCGUUAGUAACUGUGAACAAGGGUUGCGCUCGUUGCGGGACUUAACCCAACAUCUCACGACACGAGCUGACGACAGCCAUGCAGCACCUGUGUUCCAGUUCCCUUUCGGGCACAGCCGCCUUUCAGCAGCCUUCCGGACAUGUCAAGGGUAGGUAAGGUUGUUCGCGUUGCAUCGAAUUAAUCCACAUCAUCCACCGCUUGUGCGGGUCCCCGUCAAUUCCUUUGAGUUUUAAUCUUGCGACCGUACUCCCCAGGCGGUCAACUUCACGCGUUAGCUGCGGUACCAAAGGAUUGCUCCUCCAACACCUAGUUGACAUCGUUUAGGGCGUGGACUAC